GACGAACGCUGGCGGCGUGCUUAACACAUGCGAGUCGAACGGAAAGGCCCUUCGGGGUCCUCGAGUGGCGAACGGGUGAGUAACACGUGGGUGAUCUGCCCUGCACUUUGGGAUAAGCCUGGGAAACUGGGUCUAAUACCGAAUAGGACCACGCGCUUCAUGGUGUGUGGUGGAAAGCUUUUGCGGUGUGGGAUGGGCCCGCGGCCUAUCAGCUUGUUGGUGGGGUAAUGGCCUACCAAGGCGACGACGGGUAGCCGGCCUGAGAGGGUGACCGGCCACACUGGGACUGAGAUACGGCCCAGACUCCUACGGGAGGCAGCAGUGGGGAAUAUUGCACAAUGGGCGCAAGCCUGAUGCAGCGACGCCGCGUGAGGGAUGACGGCCUUCGGGUUGUAAACCUCUUUCACCAGGGACGAAGCGUAAGUGACGGUACCUGGAGAAGAAGCACCGGCCAACUACGUG
rnacentral:rRNA from 1 species